rnacentral:lncRNA from 1 species
CUUAAACCAAAUAAUUUUUCUCACAGUUUUGGAAGCUAGAAUUUCAAGAUCAUGGUGUUGACAGGUUUGGUUUCUUUUGAGGUUUGUCUUUUGGCUUCUAGGUGACUAGCUUUUAGCUAUAUUCUCACAUAGUCUUUCCUUUAUACUCAAGUGCCAAAGUGCCUUUGUCUAGGCUCUUCUUAGGAAUCCAAUCAUAUAAAGGUCUCAUUUUAACUUAGUCAAUUCUUAUCUCCUAAUACAGUUAUAUUUUGAGGGACUAGGGACAUAAUAGAUGAAUUUGGGGAUUACAGUGACCUUUCUUUAUUUCUGCCAUGCAUUAUUCUAGUCACUUUGAAUGAAUUAAAUUCAGGGUUCUUCAAUCUCAGCACUAAGGACAUUUUAUACCUGACAAUUCUUUCUUGGGGUAGGGUUAGGAGACUGUUCUAUGCAUUGUACCAUUACUAAAUCCAUUUUAGUAUCAUCCUUGGCUUCUGCCAGUAACUCCGUCUCCCCAGGUAGUGAUAUAAUUAUUUGCAGACAUUGUCAGAUUUCCCCUGGGGGACAAAAUUGCUCUAAUUGAGAACCACUGAUUAAGUCUAAUCUUCUCCACACUGUUUCAAGGUAGCUUUAAUAUCCCCACUUUAUAAAGGAAGGUACUGAGAUUAAGAAAGGUUGAAUGACUGGCCAAGUUCACAUAGAAACAAAGGGGCAGAGCCAGGAUUUGAACUUUAGUUGUUUUUUUCCAUGACAUUAAGCUGCUGCUUAGUGGUUAUCCUGCACCUUUUCAGCUUUCACCACUGUCUCUAAAUCUGCUACACCAAAUGCUGAAUGAUGGCCUUAAAAUAAUCAGUAAUCAUGUGAUGAUCCUUUCUUUGUAAUCUUUGUGAAAUAUUCUAAACCAUAAACCUAUUAUGCUUUCUGAAACAGUGACCUAGGGGUAUUACAAAUUGUCCGCAGAGCCAGGCACCAAUGCCACCCUCUUUAUGGUCAUUAAUUAAACUGAGAACAGGCUGAAAGAUACACAUCAGCUGGAUGUGAUGUUACACAACUGUAAUCCUAGUGGCUUGGGAGGCUGAGACAGGAGAAUCACAAGUUCAAAGCCAGGCUCAGCAAAAGCAAGGCACUAAGCAACUCAGUAAGACCCUGUCUCUAAAUAAAAUACAAAAUAGGGCUGGGGAUGUGGCUUAGUGAUUGAGUUCCCCUGAGUUCAAUCCCCAGUACCCUCCCACAAAAAAGACUGAAAUACACAUUAAUAAUAAUAAAUUACAAAUCUUAGCUAAAACAAUUCAUCUUUUCACCCCAAAAUUAUGUGAUAACCCAAUUUUAAAUAUGAAAAUGAAGUCUGGGGAAAUAAGUUGGGAAAUUGCCCUGAUUAGUCAGAGUUAGGUAAAGAAUGAAAAUUAUACUUCUGCUGUGUGGGAAAUUGUUUAAAAACAAAAAAAAUGCUUGCCUAGUGCAUCCCCCAAAAUGUGACAGCUUCAGAAUGGUGUUCAGGUUUUCCUAAGAACCCAGAUGUUCAAUGACUAGUACUUGAACUUUCAAUAAACUCCAGAAAUGUAAAGAAAACUAAAUGAUUGUGCAUAUGUGUGUGCUACAGUGUUCUGAGAAGAAUCCUUCUCUAAUUCUCAAGAAGUAAUAUUUGCUUCCCCACCAUGAAGCCCAAGACUUGAUUAACUUUAUCUUAACAUACCAAUAAAUGUUGUAUUGGCCAUAAAAACAGUCAGCUCUAGUA